GACGAACGCUGGCGGCGUGCUUAACACAUGCAAGUCGAACGGAAAGGCCCUGCUUUUGUGGGGUGCUCGAGUGGCGAACGGGUGAGUAACACGUGAGUAACCUGCCCUUGACUUUGGGAUAACUUCAGGAAACUGGGGCUAAUACCGGAUAGGAGCUCCUGCUGCAUGGUGGGGGUUGGAAAGUUUCGGCGGUUGGGGAUGGACUCGCGGCUUAUCAGCUUGUUGGUGGGGUAGUGGCUUACCAAGGCUUUGACGGGUAGCCGGCCUGAGAGGGUGACCGGCCACAAUGGGACUGAGAUACGGCCCAGACUCCUACGGGAGGCAGCAGUGGGGAAUAUUGUACAAUGGGCGGAAGCCUGAUGCAGCAACGCCGCGUGCGGGAUGACGGCCUUCGGGUUGGAAACCGCAUUCGCCUGUGACGAAGCGUGAGUGACGGUAAUGGGUAAAGAAGCACCGGCUAACUACGUG
rnacentral:rRNA from 1 species